CCCCUUUCAGGAUCGCACCUGGAGAGUUUCCCGUGGUCUACCAGUCUUGGCCAUGAGAGGGAGAGUCAAGCAGAGGCCUACCCAUUCCAUUCCUAGCUUGGGCAGUGGCUAGCGAGUGGAAGGCGAUCUGCUGCCAGU
rnacentral:snoRNA from 1 species